UUCAGCCUUCUGACUUGGAUCCGGUUAGGCAUGCGAGUCGAGAGGGUACGGCCCUCGGCAUACGGCUCAGUAACACGUGGAUAAUCUGCCCUUAGGUGGGGGAUAAUCUCGAGAAAUUGAGCAUAAUACCCCAUAGUUCUAGAUUGCUGGAAUGCUUCUAAAAUUAAAGCUCUGGCGCCUAAGGAUGAGUCUGCGGUCUAUCAGGUUGUAGUGAGCGUAAAGGACUCACUAGCCGACGACGGGUACGGGCUGUGGGAGCAGUUGCCCGGAGAUGGACUCUGAGACACGAGUCCAGGCCCUACGGGGCGCAGCAGGCGCGAAACCUUCACAAUGUGCGAAAGCGCGAUGAGGGAAUCCCAAGUGCUUGCUCGUAAGAGUAAGCUGUUUUUAUGUCUAAAACGCAUGAAGAGUAAGGGCUGGGUAAGACGGGUGCCAGCCGCCGCGGUAAUACCUGCAGCUCAAGUGGUGAUCGCUAUUAUUGGGCCUAAAACGUUCGUAGCCGGUUUGGUAAAUGCCUGGGUAAAUCGUGUAGCUUAACUAUACGAAUUCCGGGUAGACUGCUAAACUUGAGACCGGGAGAGGCUAGAGGUACUCCUGGGGUAGAGGUGAAAUUCUGUAAUCCUGGGGGGACCACCAGUGGCGAAGGCGUCUAGCUAGAACGGGUCUGACGGUGAGGGACGAAGCCCUGGGGCGCAAACCGGAUUAGAUACCCGGGUAGUCCAGGGUGUAAACGCUGCUUGCUUGAUGUUAGUUGGGCUCCGAGCCCAAUUAGUGUCGGAGAGAAGUUGUUAAGCAAGCUGCCUGGGAAGUACGGUCGCAAGACUGAAACUUAAAGGAAUUGGCGGGGGAGCACAGCAACGGGUGGAGCGUGCGGGUUUAAUUGGAUUCAACGCCGGAAAACUCACCGGAGGCGACGGUUAUAUGAAGGCCAGGCUGAUGACUUUGCCUGAUUUUCCGAGAGGUGGUGCAUGGCCGCCGUCAGUUCGUACCGUAAGGCGUUCUGUUAAGUCAGAUAACGAACGAGACCCUCAUCUUUAAUUGCAACCAGUAAGUCCGCUUAUGGGCACAUAAAGAAACGCUGGCGAUAGUCAGAGAGCGGGGCACGGUAGGUCAGUAUGCCUGAUCUCGGGCUACACGCGCCGCUACAAAGGGCUAGGGAC
rnacentral:rRNA from 1 species